rnacentral:lncRNA from 1 species
CUCUCUGAAUUCUCUCUUCUCUUGUUGUAUUCUCAGACUUCUGCAACACCAUGGAUGAGUCCCCUGUGGCUCCCCAAGCAGCAGCAGCACGAAGCCCCCCGCAGUCGACCACUUGGGUCAACCCGCUGGCCCUGCUCCUUCUUCCUUCCCUCUUCCCUCUCUCACCCCAUCUCUCUCUGUGUGUCCAACAGGAGCAGCACCACCUCGCCAUGAACGGGAGCCCGCAGCUCAUGAUCCGGUUGUCCCAACUCCGAAUCGAGUUCCUGGAGGCAGGAAUGGAUCCCCAACCUCCGGAUCUGGCGCCGCCAACCCCCCUUUUCGCCGCUGGUCCGCUCCAGAUCGCAGGAUCUCGGCCCUGUCGAUCUCUACUUUUCCCCCUGUGAGACCUGUAUCUGAAGGUUUGUUGUUUCUGUCCCCAGAUCCGUCGGGCAUAUAGAGGUUAUUAAGUGUUGGCUCUGAUUUUAAACGUUAGCACACAGCUAGCCGAGUUGGCUAGUAUUGUCAGCCUCGUUGCCAGAGGUUGUGGGUUCAAGUCCCCACUGAUGCACUAUUUUUUCACUCCCUUUUAUUCCAUCACGAGAGGAUCAGCUUUUGUAUUAGGUUCACUUGACAUCGAUCCCCUGUUGUCUCGGAAGCAUGUAGGCAGCCUGUUGGUCAGCGCUCUUCUUUGCAACACCUCGUUCCAGGGUUCAAAUCCCAGCUAGCCUCAUAUUAUUUGUCCUUGUCAUUUUUUUGAUGUUGUUGGUGGCGCUAGGGAUUAUAGAUGGUUGAUUUUAAAAUGCUUAUAACUUUUUAAUGGCGCCUCUUAUGCAAAAACCGUAGGUAUGUAGAAUGUGUAGAAAUUUGCGUAGAACAACAAUUUCCAACUCUCAUGCAUAUUAAAGGCUGUUUAGUGUGCUUUUUGCAUCGGUUUGCGUCUCGACGUGUUGAAAAUGGUUUAGGUCAUAACUAUUUGAUCGUAGCUCCGUUCGAGAUGUGCCAUAUAUGUAAAUGGACUAGAAUGACGUGUAGUUUCACGUGAACCACUUUGUUUUGCCGUUUAACAAAUCUAAAAUGUGAUGAGGACAAAUCUGGACAGAAUUAAGAUUUAACACGUGGGAUCAUUUCGGAGAUGCUAUAUGUCGUUUCCGGUCUCAUUUAAAAUGCCUAGCUAGGUAGAUUAAUUUGUGCUUCACCCCCUUGCCAUCUUAACAACCUUUUAAUAUUGCCGGGUACCUAAUCGGGAUAGAACUAAAUAACUAACGUGGAGUUUCGUCAAUAUGCAACUCGUUGCAUAUUGAACUUCACUUAAUGUGUAGUGUUUGAUUGUUGUGAUUGUCAUGCCUUGCAUUAGACCGUUCAUGCAUCAUAUGUGUCUUGCAUCGUGUGGUGAAUAUCGUGUGAUGAUUUGUGUUUCCGGUUUGCUUCGUCUCGAUAGAGUUCCGCAAGCGAGUCGGAUUGUGAGGACCCGUUCGACUACGUCGGUUCGUCUGCUUCACGGAUUCAUUCUUCUUCCAAGCGGGAUCUCAGGCAAGAUGAUCAUUUCCCCAGAUACCAUUACUAUCAUUUCCAUGCUAGUUAUUUCGAUUCUAUCGCUUAUGUCUCGUUGCCUACCACAUGUUAAAUAUCAGCCUCUGAACAAUGCCAUGAAACCUUCAACCUGCUCAACCUAGCAAACCACUGAUUGGCUAUGUUACCGCUUGCUUAAUCCUGUGUAGCGUUGUUAGUUGCAGGUGCAGUUGCUUCCAUGUGAUUACAUGGGUUCCUUGUCAUAUCACCAUAUUAAUGCUAUUUAAUUUAAUGCACCUAUAUACUUGGUAAAAGGUGGAAGGCUCGGCCUUUCUAGCCUGGUGUUUUGUUCCACCUUUGCCCCCUUAGUUUCCGGCUACCGGUGUUAUGUUCCAUAAAUGAGCGCUCCUAACACGAUCGGGGUUGUUAUGGGGACCCCCUUGAUAAUUCGUUGUAGAUUAAAGCUGGUCUGGCAAGGCCCAACAUUGGUACUACAUUUGCCUAAUCACCUAAUAAAAUUGCAUAGGGACUUCCCGGGCCCCGAGGAUAAUUUAAUCAACCCCCGGGCCAGUGCUCCUCAUGAGUGUUGGUCCAAAACAGAGCAGCUUAUUAACGCUACCCGGGGCAACUCGGCGUUUGGCGUGGUAACCAUAGCUCAUCCGUCGUGUCCUGAGAACGAGGUACGCGACUCCUAUCGGGAUCGUCGACACGUCGGGCGGCCUUGCUGGAUUAGUUUUACCUUUGACGAGAUAUCUUGUGCAUCGGGAUUCCAGUGAUGCUUUGGGUAAUCUCAGAGUUGAGGUUUUCCACUAGGGAAUCCGACGAGAUCGCGAGCUUCGCGAUUGAGGAUUUCUAUGUGGCUUGUGGUAAUUUGUGAUGGACUAGUUGGAGCACCCCUGCAGGGAUAAAUCUUUUCGGAAAGCCGUGCCCGCGGUUAUGGGGCAACGUGGAAACUUUGGUUAACACUGGUUCUAGAUAAUUUGAAGUUAACUUAAUUUAAAAUAUGCCAACUGUGUGCGUAACCGUGACUGUCUCUUUCGUGAGUUCCUUCUCAGAUCGAGAACACGGUGGGGUUAUGUCUGACGUAGGUAGGUGUUCAGGAUCAUUCAUUUGAUCAUGGGUAGUUCACGUCCGUUAUGCGUAGAUCUUUCCCCCCUCUUAUUUCUUGUACUCGUAAGUUAGCCACCAAAUAUAUGCUUAGCCGCUGCUGCUACCUCACCACUUAACCAUACCUCACCCAUUAAGCUUUGCUAGUCUUGAUACCUCUGGAAAUGAGAUUGCUGAGUCCCCUGUGGCUCACAGAUUACUACAACACCAGUUGCAGGUACAGGUAAAGGUUACUCGACGCGAGCGCGUUGAUUGUUCAUUUGGAGCUGCUUCUUCUUCUUCUUCUUCUUCAUCGAUCUAGGAUGGGUUCCAGGCCGGCAGCCUGGGAUAGCAAGGAUAGACGUCGUUCUUAUUUUCUCGUUUGUUUUCGUCCGUAGUCGGACCCUGCUCUUACUCUUGAUGGUUAUGUAAUGUAUUGAUGUGACUCUGAUGUAGCUUGUGGCGAGUGUAAGCCAACUCUUUAUAUAUCUCUUCUUUCAGUACAUGUACUUGUAACGAUAUCCAUUCUUGCGACACGACGAGAUGCGCUUCUAUCCCUGACGAGGCCCUCGUGCCAAAUUGAGGAUAGGAUCGCAUCUUGGGCGUGACAUUAACUCAAGUGAAGAAUUUGGGGUUG